CAGCCGUAAACAAUGUGCGUUAGGUGUGUCGGUAACCACGUGUUACUGAUGCGCCGAAGAGAAAUCGUGAAACGCACCACCUGGGAAGUACGGUCGCAAGGCUGAAACUUAAAGGAAUUGGCGGGGGAGCACCACAACAGGUGGAGCCUGCGGUUUAAUUGGAUUCAACGCCGGAAAUCUCACCGGAUAGGACAGCAGAAUGAUUGCCGGGCUGAAGACCCUGCAUGACUAGCUGAGAGGAGGUGCAUGGCGUCAGUGACU
rnacentral:rRNA from 1 species